GGCUUCGUAGCUCAGCUGGUAGAGUAUUUACCGCAUUUUGGCAUGCUGAUUCUGUCGCUCGUACGAAUCCAGCCGAAGUUC